AUUGAACGCUGGCGGCGUGCUUUACACAUGCAAGUCGAACGGCAGCACGGACUUCGGUCUGGUGGCGAGUGGCGAACGGGUGAGUAAUACAUCGGAACGUACCCAGUAAUGGGGGAUAACUAUCCGAAAGGAUAGCUAAUACCGCAUACGCCCUACGGGGGAAAGAGGGGGAUCGCAAGACCUCUUGUUAUUGGAGCGGCCGAUGGCUGAUUAGCUAGUUGGUGGGGUAAAGGCCUACCAAGGCAACGAUCAGUAGCGGGUCUUAGAGGACGAUCCGCCACACUGGAAAUCAGACACGGUCCAUACUCCUACGGGAGGCAGCAGUGGGGAAUCUUGGACAAUGGGCGCAAGCCUGAUCCAGCAAUGCCGCGUGCGUGAAGAAGGCCUUCGGGUUGUAAAGCGCUUUUGUCAGGGAGCGAAUCCUUGUGGCUAAUACCCACCGGGGAUGAGAGUACCUGAAGAAUAAGGACCGGCUAACUACGUGCCAGCCGCCGCAGUAAAAC
rnacentral:rRNA from 1 species